rnacentral:rRNA from 1 species
UCGAGAAUCUUCGGCAAUGGACGCAAGUCUGACCGAGCGAUGCCGCGUGCGGGAUGAAGGCCUUCGGGUUGUAAACCGCUGUCAGUUGGGAGGAAAUCUGUGGGGGUCAUCCCCCAUGGUUGACUAAUCUUCAGAGGAAGGACGGGCUAAGUUCGUGCCAGCAGCCGCGGUAACACGAACCGUCCAAACGUUAUUCGGUAUCACUGGGCUUAAAGCGUGCGUAGGCGGCCUGGAAGGUGAGAUGUGAAAGCCCACGGCUCAACCGUGGAACUGCGUUUCAAACCACCAGGCUUGAGGAAGAUAGGGGUGAUGGGAACUGAUGGUGGAGCGGUGAAAUGCGUUGAUAUCAUCAGGAACACCGGUGGCGAAAGCGCAUCACUGGAUCUUUUCUGACGCUCAGGCACGAAAGCUAGGGUAGCGAACGGGAUUAGAUACCCCCGUAGUCC